AGUCCAUGCAUAAGAAAUUUCUGAAGUAAUUAUUUAAAUCAUUCCCAAGCUUCAUAUAAUGUUUCAUCUUUUGAUUGCCAAAAGGAUGUGAUGUUAUUUCUAGACU
rfam:Gossypium arboreum cultivar AKA8401 contig_1361_7, whole genome shotgun sequence.